ACGGAGGGAGCUAGCGUUGUUCGGAAUUACUGGGCGUAAAGAGUACGUAGGCGGUUAUUCAAGUCAGAGGUGAAAGCCUGGAGCUCAACUCCAGAACUGCCUUUGAAACUAGAUAGCUAGAAUCUUGGAGAGGUGAGUGGAAUUCCGAGUGUAGAGGUGAAAUUCGUAGAUAUUCGGAAGAACACCAGUGGCGAAGGCGACUCACUGGACAAGUAUUGACGCUGAGGUACGAAAGCGUGGGGAGCAAACAGGAUUAGAUACCCUGGUAGUCCACGCUGUAAACGAUGAUAACUAGCUGUCCGGGCUCUCAGAGCUUGGGUGGCGCAGCUAACGCAUUAAGUUAUCCGCCUGGGGAGUACGGUCGCAAGAUUA
rnacentral:rRNA from 1 species